rnacentral:rRNA from 1 species
GACGGAGGGUGCAAGCGUUGCUCGGAAUCACUGGGCGUAAAGGGUGCGUAGGCGGUCUCGCAAGUCUGGCGUGAAAGCCCCGGGCUCAGCCCGGGAAGUGCGCUCGAAACUGCGCGGCUCGAGUGCCGGAGGGGAGAGUGGAAUUCCUGGUGUAGCGGUGAAAUGCGUAGAUAUCAGGAGGAAUACCGGUGGCGAAAGCGACUCUCUGGACGGCAACUGACGCUGAGGCACGAAAGCGUGGGGAGCAAACAGG